GGGUUGUGAGGUUAAGCGACUAAGCGUACACGGUGGAUGCCCUGGCAGUCAGAGGCGAUGAAGGACGUGCUAAUCUGCGAUAAGCGUCGGUAAGGUGAUAUGAACCGUUAUAACCGGCGAUUUCCGAAUGGGGAAACCCAGUGUGAUUCGUCACACUAUCAUUAACUGAAUCCAUAGGUUAAUGAGGCGAACCGGGGGAACUGAAACAUCUAAGUACCCCGAGGAAAAGAAAUCAACCGAGAUUCCCCAGUAGCGGCGAGCGAACGGGGAGCAGCCCAGAGCCUGAAUCAGUGUGUGUGUUAGUGGAAGCGUCUGGAAAGGCGUGCGAUACAGGGUGACAGCCCCGUACACAAAAAUGCACAUACUGUGAGCUCGAUGAGUAGGGCGGGACACGUGGUAUCCUGUCUGAAUAUGGGGGGACCAUCCUCCAAGGCUAAAUACUCCUGACUGACCGAUAGUGAACCAGUACCGUGAGGGAAAGGCGAAAAGAACCCCGGCGAGGGAGUGAAAAAGAACCUGAAACCGUGUACGUACAAGCAGUGGGAGCCUCUUAAUGGGGUGACUGCGUACCUUUUGUAUAAUGGGUCAGCGACUUAUAUUCUGUAGCAAGGUUAACCGAAUAGGGGAGCCGAAGGGAAACCGAGUCUUAACUGGGCGUUAAGUUGCAGGGUAUAGACCCGAAACCCGGUGAUCUAGCCAUGGGCAGGUUGAAGGUUGGGUAACACUAACUGGAGGACCGAACCGACUAAUGUUGAAAAAUUAGCGGAUGACUUGUGGCUGGGGGUGAAAGGCCAAUCAAACCGGGAGAUAGCUGGUUCUCCCCGAAAGCUAUUUAGGUAGCGCCUCGUGAAUUCAUCUCCGGGGGUAGAGCACUGUUUCGGCAAGGGGGUCAUCCCGACUUACCAACCCGAUGCAAACUGCGAAUACCGGAGAAUGUUAUCACGGGAGACACACGGCGGGUGCUAACGUCCGUCGUGAAGAGGGAAACAACCCAGACCGCCAGCUAAGGUCCCAAAGUCAUGGUUAAGUGGGAAACGAUGUGGGAAGGCCCAGACAGCCAGGAUGUUGGCUUAGAAGCAGCCAUCAUUUAAAGAAAGCGUAAUAGCUCACUGGUCGAGUCGGCCUGCGCGGAAGAUGUAACGGGGCUAAACCAUGCACCGAAGCUGCGGCAGCGACACUAUGUGUUGUUGGGUAGGGGAGCGUUCUGUAAGCCUGUGAAGGUGUACUGUGAGGUAUGCUGGAGGUAUCAGAAGUGCGAAUGCUGACAUAAGUAACGAUAAAGCGGGUGAAAAGCCCGCUCGCCGGAAGACCAAGGGUUCCUGUCCAACGUUAAUCGGGGCAGGGUGAGUCGACCCCUAAGGCGAGGCCGAAAGGCGUAGUCGAUGGGAAACAGGUUAAUAUUCCUGUACUUGGUGUUACUGCGAAGGGGGGACGGAGAAGGCUAUGUUGGCCGGGCGACGGUUGUCCCGGUUUAAGCGUGUAGGCUGGUUUUCCAGGCAAAUCCGGAAAAUCAAGGCUGAGGCGUGAUGACGAGGCACUACGGUGCUGAAGCAACAAAUGCCCUGCUUCCAGGAAAAGCCUCUAAGCAUCAGGUAACAUCAAAUCGUACCCCAAACCGACACAGGUGGUCAGGUAGAGAAUACCAAGGCGCUUGAGAGAACUCGGGUGAAGGAACUAGGCAAAAUGGUGCCGUAACUUCGGGAGAAGGCACGCUGAUAUGUAGGUGAAGUCCCUCGCGGAUGGAGCUGAAAUCAGUCGAAGAUACCAGCUGGCUGCAACUGUUUAUUAAAAACACAGCACUGUGCAAACACGAAAGUGGACGUAUACGGUGUGACGCCUGCCCGGUGCCGGAAGGUUAAUUGAUGGGGUUAGCGGUAACGCGAAGCUCUUGAUCGAAGCCCCGGUAAACGGCGGCCGUAACUAUAACGGUCCUAAGGUAGCGAAAUUCCUUGUCGGGUAAGUUCCGACCUGCACGAAUGGCGUAAUGAUGGCCAGGCUGUCUCCACCCGAGACUCAGUGAAAUUGAACUCGCUGUGAAGAUGCAGUGUACCCGCGGCAAGACGGAAAGACCCCGUGAACCUUUACUAUAGCUUGACACUGAACAUUGAGCCUUGAUGUGUAGGAUAGGUGGGAGGCUUUGAAGUGUGGACGCCAGUCUGCAUGGAGCCGGCCUUGAAAUACCACCCUUUAAUGUUUGAUGUUCUAACGUUGGCCCCUGAUCGGGGUUGCGGACAGUGUCUGGUGGGUAGUUUGACUGGGGCGGUCUCCUCCUAAAGAGUAACGGAGGAGCACGAAGGUUGGCUAAUCCUGGUCGGACAUCAGGAGGUUAGUGCAAUGGCAUAAGCCAGCUUGACUGCGAGCGUGACGGCGCGAGCAGGUGCGAAAGCAGGUCAUAGUGAUCCGGUGGUUCUGAAUGGAAGGGCCAUCGCUCAACGGAUAAAAGGUACUCCGGGGAUAACAGGCUGAUACCGCCCAAGAGUUCAUAUCGACGGCGGUGUUUGGCACCUCGAUGUCGGCUCAUCACAUCCUGGGGCUGAAGUAGGUCCCAAGGGUAUGGCUGUUCGCCAUUUAAAGUGGUACGCGAGCUGGGUUUAGAACGUCGUGAGACAGUUCGGUCCCUAUCUGCCGUGGGCGCUGGAGAACUGAGGGGGGCUGCUCCUAGUACGAGAGGACCGGAGUGGACGCAUCACUGGUGUUCGGGUUGUCAUGCCAAUGGCACUGCCCGGUAGCUAAAUGCGGAAGAGAUAAGUGCUGAAAGCAUCUAAGCACGAAACUUGCCCCGAGAUGAGUUCUCCCUGACUCCUUGAGAGUCCUGAAGGAACGUUGAAGACGACGACGUUGAUAGGCCGGGUGUGUAAGCGCAGCGAUGCGUUGAGCUAACCGGUACUAAUGAACCGUGAGGCUUAACCUUACAACGCCGAAGGUGUUU
rnacentral:rRNA from 1 species